rnacentral:lncRNA from 1 species
UCUAGGAGAUGAGAUUGCAGACAAAGGAGAAUGGAUUUAGAAGUCAUGAAGCAAGAUGUAGAGGAAUACAAAGCCAUUCUACAUUGCAUUUUAUAUCUUUGUCAAGAGGUUUUCUUAAAAAAAUAAAGUCUGUCCCUGAGGGUAUUCCUUUCAGGAUCUAGUGAAUGUUUCUGUGCAACAGAAGAUGGACCUGGAUAAAGCACUGAUUCUUGAGCCCUGCAUGACCUUGGCUGUGUAGUCUGGUUCUGGCUGCUUUCUUCUAGGAUGCUGGGAUCCCUGCCUUGUGUCCAAAAUUGAGGAAUGGAGGCUUCUCUUUAACUCCAUCACAGUCU